CGUGUGAAUUGCAGAAUCCCGUGAACCAUCGAGUCUUUGAACGCAAGUUGCGCCCGAAGCCAAUAGGCCGAGGGCACGUCUGCCUGGGUGUCA
rnacentral:rRNA from 1 species